rnacentral:lncRNA from 1 species
UUUAAUUUUCUUACUAGCCCUUAUACUACCUAACAUAAUAUACAUUUACAUUGAUUUGUUAAUUUCUUGAAUAGGAAAUUUGGUUCAUCCACUUCUGUAUCUCUAACACUUAGAACAAAAGCAUAUAAUAGGUGCUCUAUCAAUCAUUCAAUCAAUCCAUAUUAAUAAAUGGAUAUAUAUGUAUAUGGAUGAAUUAUUAUCUAUAUACUACUUGCUCUGAACUAGGCUUUCAGUAGAUUGUAAAGAACUGGCUGUCUUCAUGGAGUUUACCAUUUCAUGGUAUGAUCAGUGAAGCUAAGAUGCUCAGUUUUCUUGUAACUUGUCUCUUUGUACUCUUAAUUCCUCCCUUCAAAUCCUAGCAUUUCUGACAAGGAAAUCAUGCCCUUCACAGGUUCACAGACCCUCUGGCUGUCUUUAUGACUUUUCCUUUUGAACUUCAAAGAUGUCUUUGAUGUUCAUAAUAGUGUCUGAAGAAAGCUAGCACAUGGUGAGCUUUGCCCUCACAUCUGUUUGGCUGACCUUAUUGUUCUGUGCUCUCUCAGGCCAAAGGACACAUAAAGGACAAUGUCUGUAUCAAAGAGAUGAAAUAUUUGCUUGACCCUUUCCUCUCACAGAACAUUCCAUCCUGGCUCACCUAAAUGUCUUGGGUCUGGGGUUAAGCUAUUCCCAUGACAUGAUCUGGAAAAUUUCUGAGCAGUUUCUCAGAAAGCAGAGGUACGUGUCUUCCUCAACACCACUAUUCUUUUCCUAGAAAAUGCAUAAUACACAUUUUUCCACUUGGAAACAGGAAAACAUUAGGAUUACCAGAAUAGAAUCAGAUUUUUGGUUGUUAAAGUAGACUUUCGGUGCUUCUGAUUCAUCAUUGUGCAGCUGAGAAGAAAAGCAACUGAGAAGCCAGAGGACGUGUACUUGAAUCUAGAUUCCACCACUUUCCAGCCCUGUGACCUUGGGCAUUUAACCUCUCUAGCUUCAGUUUCCUCUGCUGAAUAAAUGCAGGGGAUAAUAGCAAUACUUAUAUCCUAUGAAAGUUUUGAGAGUUAAAUAAGAGAAUGUAUGUGAAAUGCACUAAGCACUUGUUACAUAUCUCAUUCAAAACUUUUGCUAUCAAUAACAUUAGAAUAACAGCUGAGACUUCUUAAUAUAAGACAUUAAGAUAAAAUCUAAUGUAGAUACUAGAUUCCAGACUAACUCAAGCAGCAUCUUUAUUUAGAUUUAAAUUGCAGUGUUAAAAAUGAGAGAUCUGUGUUGCAUUUUCCACUACUAUCUGUCAUUGUCUGUGGCUACUCCUUGUAUAUGAACACAAAUUUCAUGUUUCUACAUGAACAUAUAUAUCAAUGGAUUGAUCAGUUGAUCAACUGAUAGAGGCUUAUAUUAUGACUUUCCCAAUCAAGUAAAAAAAUUCUCCUGAGCUUUCUACAUCUGCCAUCUCCAUACUUCUCCACACCCUACAAUAUGCCCUUCAUGCUUCCUAGAGCUAUGGACACAGGGACUACAAAUUCCUCCAUAUUUAUACAUAUUAAAUACAAUUUUAAAUAAAAUUAAAAGAGAACCACUGAUAGAAAUCUCCUAAAUUUUAAAGUUUACUGUUUUCUGACUUGAAGUGGCUAGUGUUCCAGAGAGAAGGUUUUAUUGUUGACCCUUAGGUAUAUGUUUAAUUAGAAGCAUGCCCCUGGGAGUGCAGCUAUAACCAUAAGCUAGUAGGCCUCUUCCAUAGAAAGAUUGAGCUUCUGGGUCUGUUGCCUUUUGAUGUGCCCUGGGGUAGUAGCUGAUAAAGAAUUAUUUCUCUGUAGGUUAUAGUCCUCUGGGACCCACAAACAUAAGCACCACUGGCUAUCAGAGCCAACUGAUAUAGAGCAGCAACCAUAAAAUUCAGGGUACCAGAGAGGCAGCUGGAUUGCUCAGAUGUUUAAAUGUCUGACUCUUGGUUUCAACUCAGGUCAUGAUCUCAGGCUUGAUAUCAAGCCCCACGUGGGCUGGAUUCCAUGCUCAUCAUGGAGCCUGCUUAAGAUUCUCUCUCUAUCUGUCUCCCUCUGCUCCUCCCACUGCUUGUGCUUCUCUCUCUCUCAAAAAAAAAAAAAAA